AGUGAACGCUGGCGGUAGGCCUAACACAUGCAAGUCGAACGGCAGCACAGUAAGAGCUUGCUCUUACGGGUGGCGAGUGGCGGACGGGUGAGGAAUACAUCGGAAUCUACUUUUUCGUGGGGGAUAACGUAGGGAAACUUACGCUAAUACCGCAUACGACCUACGGGUGAAAGCAGGGGAUCUUCGGACCUUGCGCGAUUGAAUGAGCCGAUGUCGGAUUAGCUAGUUGGCGGGGUAAAGGCCCACCAAGGCGACGAUCCGUAGCUGGCCUGAGAGGAUGAUCAGCCACACUGGAACUGAGACACAGUCCCGACUCCGACGGGAGGCAGCAGUGGGGAAUAUUGGACAAUGGGCGCAAGCCUGAUCCAGCCAUACCGCGUAGGUGAAGAAGGCCUUCGGGUUGUAAAGCCCUUUUGUUGGGAAAGAAAAGCAGCAGGUUAAUACCCCGCUGUCCUGACGGUACCCAAAGAAUAAGCACCGGCUAACUUCGUG
rnacentral:rRNA from 1 species